UUGACCUCGGAUCAGGUAGGGAUACCCGCUGAAC
rnacentral:rRNA from 14 species